GCUAGGAUGAACGCUAGCUGCAGGCUUAACACAUGCAAGUCGAGGGGCAGCGAUGGUCUUAGCUUGCUAAGACUGAUGGCGACCGGCGCACGGGUGAGUAACGCGUAUCCAACCUUCCCCAUAGUAGGGAAUAGCCCGGCGAAAGUCGGAUUAAUGCCCUAUGUUCUUCAAUGCAGACAUCUAGGUUGAAGCAAAGAUUCAUCGCUAUGGGAUGGGGAUGCGUCUGAUUAGGUGCAGGCGGGUAACGGCCCACCUGGCCGACGAUCAGUAGGGGUUCUGAGAGGAAGGUCCCCCACAUUGGUACUGAGACACGGACCAAACUCCUACGGGAGGCAGCAGUGAGGAAUAUUGGUCAAUGGGCGCGAGCCUGAACCAGCCAAGUAGCGUGCAGGAAGACUGCCCUAUGGGUUGUAAACUGCUUUUAUGCGGGAAUAAAGUCAGGUACGUGUACCUGUUUGUAUGUACCGCAUGAAUAAGGACCGGCUAAUUCCGUGCCAGCCGCGGC
rnacentral:rRNA from 1 species